rnacentral:rRNA from 1 species
UACGUAGGGUGCAAGCGUUGCCCCGGAUUUAUUGGGCGUAAAGGGCGCGUAGGCGGUCACGCACGUCCGUUGUGAAAUCGCCCGGCUCAACUGGGCGGGUCGGCGGAUACGGCCGAGCUGGAGCAAGCUAGGGGGUAAUGGAAUUCCCGGUGUAGUGGUGGAAUGCGUAGAUAUCGGGAGGAACACCAGUGGCGAAGGCGGCGACCUGGACCGAUACUGACGCUGAGGUGCGAAAGCGUCGGGGAGCAAACAGGGAU